UACGUAGGGGGCAAGCGUUGUCCGGAAUCAUUGGGCGUAAAGAGCGUGUAGGCGGCCCGGUAAGUCCGCUGUGAAAGUCCAGGGCUCAACCCUGGGGAUGCCGGUGGAUACUGUCGGGCUCGAGUCCGGAAGAGGAGUGUGGAAUUCCUGGUGUAGCGGUGAAAUGCGCAGAUAUCAGGAGGAACACCAAUGGCGAAGGCAGCACUCUGGGACGUGACUGACGCUGAGACGCGAAAGCGUGGGGAGCAAACAGG
rnacentral:rRNA from 1 species